ensembl:lncRNA
GUCUUCUUCACCAUGCUGUCUGUGUGGGUGGACCAUUUCAGUUUGUCCGUGAUGUCUACGCCGAGGAACUUAAAACUUUCCACCUUCUCCACUACUGUCCCAUCGAUGUGGAUGGGGGGGUGCUCCCUCUGCUGUUUCCUGAAGUCCACGAUCAUCUCCUUUGUUUUGUUGACGUUGAGUGCGAGGUUAUUUUCCUGACACCACACUCCGAGGGCCCUCACUUCCUUCCUGUAGGCAGUCUCGUCGUUGUUGGUAAUCAAGCCUACCACUCUAGUGUCGUCUGCAAACUUGACUGAGUUGGAGGCGUGAUGGCCACGCAGUUGUGGGUGAAUAGGGAGUACAGGAAGGGGCUGAGCACGCACCCUUGUGAAGCCCCAGUGUUGAGGAUCAGCGGGGUGGCUACAAUAGUCAUUUACAACAUUAACAAUGUCUACACUGUAUUUCUGAUCAAUUUGAUGUUAUUUUAAUGGACAAAAAAAUGUGCUUUUCUUUCAAAAACAAGGAAUUUAUGCAUGCCCGGGCGGUGUGCAGACAAACAAAUUAAAAUUCCAUUUAAAUUGUAAUACUUCUGACAGCCAUCUGUUUAACUCUGCCCAUAACUUUUGGACUUUAUAACGUUCCCAGAACUCAUGGAUUAUUGAGUCAUUGUUAGUUUUACACGUCAGAGAUGAUUCUGCCAUUGUGCUGUAGAAUUUGUGAAUCAUGUCUCUUGUAUAAGAAAUUAUAUACAUUAGUUUAUACUGGAUUAAGCCUACCUUUUUGACAACUGUAACUUCGUUAGUUGUGUCCCAACAUUCCCUCCAACAUCAGUUAUUUUUAAGUCUUGGUUCCAAUAGUUAAUAUUUUUUUCUAAGAGGUUGUCAGUUGGAUAUGCUCUCUGCAAAGUUUUAUAUAUCUUACCUAUCACAUGAACAGCCUUUUCUGACUCAAAUAAGAUUCCCUCGAUGUUUCUCUGAUAUCCAAAUGACUUAAAAAGCAACAUUUCAUGAUAUGAAACUUUUAAGUUGCAAAAUUUGAAAAUACUGUAUCUACAUUGGUCAGUCCAAAAUGACUUUUUAAUUCUGUCACGGAAAUACAUUUAUUUCCUGUUACCAAGUCAUUUAUGGUUUCUAUGCCUUUAGUUGUCCAUGUGGACCAAUUUAUCAGUGAAUCGUGAAAAGCUAUCCAAGACUUGUUCCAAAUGGUUGUGUUUUUAGGGAGUGACAUUGGUUCUUGUAAAAUAUGUUUGAUCUUCUUCCAUAUUGUUAUACUGUUUUUAACUAUGAAGUUGUUCACGUUCUUAGCUUUAUCUUUGAAAAUAGACACGUAAAAAGAUUCUGGGGAUGAGCAUGCGCAUUUUGAUUAUGUACCCAUUGUUCCUCGUGAGUGCAUUUAACUAUAUGUCACAAGUAAAAGCCUUGGGUAGAGAGUUGAUAUAAUUCCAAGUCUGGAAGUUUAAAACCACCCUCAGACUCAGGAAGGUUAAAACCACCCUCAGACUCAGGAAGGUUAAAAGCACCCUCAGACUCAG